AGAGUUUGAUCCUGGCUCAGAUUGAACGCUGGCGGAAUGCUUUACACAUGCAAGUCGAACGGCAGCACGGGAGCUUGCUCCUGGUGGCGAGUGGCGAACGGGUGAGUAAUACAUAGGAACAUACCCAGUAAUGGGGGAUAACGCCGAGAAAUCGGUGCUAAUACCGCAUACGCCCUACGGGGGAAAGCGGGGGACCUUCGGACCUCGCGUUAUUGGAUUGGCCUAUGUCUGAUUAGCUAGUUGGUGAGGUAAAGGCUCACCAAGGCGACGAUCAGUAGCUGGUCUGAGAGGAUGAUCAGCCACACUGGAACUGAGACACGGUCCAGACUCCUACGGGAGGCAGCAGUGGGGAAUUUUGGACAAUGGGCGAAAGCCUGAUCCAGCCAUUCCGCGUGAGUGAAGAAGGCC
rnacentral:rRNA from 1 species